UUUAUUUCAUUUCUCUGUCAACUCAUGUCACAUGACUUGAGACUUGAGUUGACCAACAAAUAAAGAAGAAGACCUGCUCCACCAGGUAACUUACUGGUGUAACAAACUAUGGAAAAGCAUCACCAACAGCACUGGACCAAUCAGGAGAGAGAAGACACAGAGGACUUAGGAGACAGAAAAAGAUUUAACAGGGGGACACCUGAGGACGUGUGCAGAAUAGAGAGACAGAGAUCAUGUGAAGUGUUUCCUCGUCAGCCUGUAAACCUCCACCUACACACCACCAGUAAGGUGGAGGUAGAUAAGAGAACCCAGUUGACGAAAAAAUUGACCAACAAUUAAAACAGAAGACCUGCUCCACCUGCUGUUCUACUGGUUGUAACAGAUUAAGGAAAAGCGUCUCAUGUUGAAGUUCACCUGUUCCUUGGUCAGACGAUGAAUAUUAAAGAAUUUUAGAACCAUUAGAGUAAACCCAGCGCUGGUUUCUGAUCCCAGAUUCAGUUUCUGCAGAUCAAUAAUGUCCCAGCUUGGAUCUCCUGAACCUGUAAACCUCCACCUUCAACACCACCAGUCGGGUGGAGGAAGAUAAGAGAACAAAGUUGAGAAAAAAAUCAAUUCAUAACAGCAGAGCUUUGAUGAGCUUUGUGCUGAUGGAAGGAGGAUCAGGAAUAGAGCAGAGGACCUGCUGACCUACUGGUUCUAGUAGAUUCUAUAAAUGCAUGACUGAAACUAGUCAACAGCACUGGACCAAUGAGGAGAGAGGAGACACAGAGGACUGAGGAGACACAGGAAAUCCUGCUGGAAAUCCAGAGAAGUUUCCUGAUCCCAUGACGAUGAGUUGAUCAGAUACGGUGACCAACAGGUGCCAACGUGCAGCAAACAGAUUCAAGGAUGGCCUUUCAACCCUGGAUGUCAUUUAUGCUUUGGAGCUUCGUGCUUCUGUGUUCAGGCCCUUUAUGUGCACAAGUGUGGAAAAGCUGACAUCAGAAAUGUUUGAGGAAAUCUUUGAGGUUCAGCUCAGCGAAAAGGGCAGCACCAGACGACAAGAAGAAACCAGACUGCUAGGAUUCUCCUAGAGACGGACCAAACCUCGCUUUCCUGUUCAAACACUAUCAAAAUACCAAAGCCCAAGACAUACGAUCAGUUCCAAAAGAGACAUGAACUUCGGGAUACAAAACUCUUUGGACUUCAAAUACAGAAUCACAAAACUCAAAUGUGGAUGUUGGCCUGUGAAGGAAGAUGUUAACUUGUGAAACCUGCUCUGUCAAAGUUCUGACUCUGCUGCGUUGUGGUUGUUGGACACACACCUUUGAACUUUAGACUCGUUCAUUUCCGAGUCUUGUGUAGUUUUCCACAUAGGAUUCCCAAGUCAUGGAUGCACUAGGCCACUGUCUCUGGAGGUCCACAAACUGUCCCUAAAGACGGCCAUGGCCACAUUGACUGCUGCUUGACUCGGUCAUAAACUGUCCCAAUUCCUCCUGGGAGUCUGGGAACCCACAGUCUGUUCUGCCAAACCGAGGAGUAAAAUACGCACAGGACGCAUAGAUUAGUUAUAUAUUUACAUUUCUUCAUUCAACUGUCACUACCAACUGUUAUGACUAUUGUUGAAAACUGUUGUAAUGCUUGAUUGUAUUUAUGUCAUCAGAAAUUGUUACAAUAAAAGUGACAUACUAUUAUCACAUGGCUGAUUUUUUUUGUUUUGACAAAUUAUUUUUGAAAGCUGCCAAACAGGCAACAAAUUAACCAGAUGUUAAUUAAAUAAAUGA